GCUGGGGUGGCGGAGUGGACAAUCGCACGAGUCUGUAAAACUCGCGGCCGAAAGGCCUACGUAGGUUCGAAUCUUACCCCCAGCACAA
rnacentral:tRNA from 2 species